AACGCGAAAGGGGCUUCGGCCCUGAGUAGAGUGGCGAACGGGUGAGUAACGCGUGGGUGAUCUACCUUCGAGUGGGGGAUAACGUCCCGAAAGGGGCGCUAAUACCGCAUGACGUUCUGGGUUUAAAGACCUGGAAACCAAAGCCGGGGACCGCAAGGCCUGGCGCUUGAAGAGGAGCCCGCGUCCGAUUAGCUAGUUGGCGGGGUAACGGCCCACCAAGGCGACGAUCGGUAGCCGGCCUGAGAGGGCGGACGGCCACACUGGAACUGAGACACGGUCCAGACUCCUACGGGAGGCAGCAGUGGGGAAUUGUUCACAAUGGGCGCAAGCCUGAUGACGCAACGCCGCGUGGGGGAUGAAGGUCUUCGGAUUGUAAACCCCUGUCGAAUGGGACGAAUAGCCUCUGGGCUAAUCACCAGAGGAAUGACGGUACCGUUAAAGGAAGCCACGGCUAACUCUGUGCCAGCAGCCGCGGUAAUACAGAGGUGGCAAGCGUUGUUCGGAAUUACUGGGCGUAAAGGGCGCGUAGGCGGCCUACUAAGUCAGACGUGAAAUCCCCCGGCUUAACCUGGGAACUGCGUCUGAUACUGGAAGGCUUGAGUAUGGGAGAGGGAUGUAGAAUUCCAGGUGUAGCGGUGAAAUGCGUAAAUUUCUGGAGGAAUACCGGUGGCGAAGGCGGCAUCCUGGACCAUUACUGACGCUGAGGCGCGAAAAGCUAGGGGAAGCAAACGGGAUUAAAUACCCCGGUAGUCCUACCCUAAACAAUGAAAAC
rnacentral:rRNA from 1 species